rnacentral:rRNA from 1 species
GAUGAACGCUGGCGGCGUGCCUAAUACAUGCAAGUCGAGCGAACAGACGAGGAGCUUGCUCCUCUGACGUUAGCGGCGGACGGGUGAGUAACACGUGGAUAACCUACCUAUAAGACUGGGAUAACUUCGUGAAACCGGAGCUAAUACCGGAUAAUAUAUUGAACCGCAUGGUUCAAUAGUGAAAGACGGUUUUGCUGUCACUUUUAGAUGGAUCCGCGCCGCAUUAGCUAGUUGGUAAGGUAACGGCUUACCAAGGCAACGAUGCGUAGCCGACCUGAGAGGGUGAUCGGCCACACUGGAACUGAGACACGGUCCAGACUCCUACGGGAGGCAGCAGUAGGGAAUCUUCCGCAAUGGGCGAAAGCCUGACGGAGCAACGCCGCGUGAGUGAUGAAGGUCUUCGGAUCGUAAAACUCUGUUAUUAGGGAAGAACAAAUGUGUAAGUAACUAUGCACGUCUUGACGGUACCUAAUCAGAAAGCCACGGCUAACUACGUG